CCUACGGGUGGCUGCAGUCGAGAAUAAUUCACAAUGGGGGCAACCCUGAUGGUGCAACGCCGCGUGGAGGAUGACGGUCUUCGGAUUGUAAACUCCUGUCAUCUGGGAGAAAGACCUGACGGUAAAUAGCCGGCAGGGUUGAUAGUACCAGAAGAGGAAGGGACGGCUAACUUCGUGCCAGCAGCCGCGGUAAUACGAAGGUCCCGAGCGUUGUUCGGAAUCACUGGGCGUAAAGGGAGCGUAGGCGGCGCGGUAAGUCGGAUGUGAAAUCCCGGGGCUCAACCCCGGAACUGCAUCUGAUACUGCCGUGCUAGAGUAAUGGAGAGGUAGCUGGAAUUAUCGGUGUAGCAGUGAAAUGCGUAGAUAUCGAUAGGAACACUCGUGGCGAAAGCGAGCUACUGGACAUUUACUGACGCUGAGGCUCGAAGGCUAGGGUAGCGAAAGGGAUUAGAUACCCAUGUAGUC
rnacentral:rRNA from 1 species